AUGCUAGGCUGCUCUUUCACACAUGCUUGAGACUACAACACCAUGGGUUCCCAGACCAAGUUUGUGCAGUGCCCAGAUGGAGAGCUGCAAAAAACACAAGGAGGUGAUGCACACCGUGUCCCUCCAUGAGACUGACAUCAUCAACUCCCAUAUUCAGGGCUUCCUGCCCCUCUUCUCAGGAUCUAGAGGGAAGAUCAAGUCAGAAGUCCAAGAACAGAUCAAUGCCAAGGUGGCUGAGUGGAGGGUGGAGGGCAAAGCAGAGAUCAUGCCUGGGGUGCUGUUCAUCGACGAGGUCAACAUGCUGGACAUCAAGAGUUUCUCUUUCUUCAAAUGGGCUCUGGAGAGUGACAUGGCACCUGUCUUCAUCAUGGCUACCAACCAAGGCAUCACCCGGAUCCAAGGCACCAACUACCAGAGUCCCCACAGCAUCCCCAUUGACCUGCUAGACUGCUUGCUCAUUGUGUCAACAUCACCCUACAUUGAAAAAGACACCAAGCAGAUUCUGCGCAUCCAGUGUGAAGAGGAAGAUGUGGAGAUGAGUGAGAAUGCCUACACAGCGCUGACCCACAUUGGGCUGGAGACUUCCCUAGGCAGCCAGCCUGGUGUGCCUGAAACCAAAGGGCACAGAGGUGCAGGUGAAUGACAUUAAGCGAGUAUACUCCCUCUUCCUGGAUGAAUCCCACUCCACACAGUGCAUGAAGGAAUACCAGGACCCUCCCUCUUCAAAGAACUCAAAAGCGAAACAAUGGACACCUCCUGA